rnacentral:rRNA from 1 species
GUGGGGAAUCUUCCGCAAUGGACGAAAGUCUGACGGAGCAACGCCGCGUGAACGAUGACGGCCUUCGGGUUGUAAAGUUCUGUUAUACGGGACGAAUGGUACGACGGCCAAUACCCGUCGUAAGUGACGGUACCGUAAGAGAAAGCCACGGCUAACUACGUGCCAGCAGCCGCGGUAAUACGUAGGUGGCAAGCGUUGUCCGGAAUUAUUGGGCGUAAAGGGCGCGCAGGCGGCGUCGUAAGUCGGUCUUAAAAGUGCGGGGCUUAACCCCGUGAGGGGACCGAAACUGCGAUGCUAGAGUAUCGGAGAGGAAAGCGGAAUUCCUAGUGUAGCGGUGAAAUGCGUAGAUAUUAGGAGGAACACCAGUGGCGAAAGCGGCUUUCUGGACGACAACUGACGCUGAGGCGCGAAAGCCAGGGGAGCAAACGGGAUUAGAAACCCUAGUAGUCC